AGUGAACGCUGGCGGCGUGCCUAACACAUGCAAGUCGAACGCGAAAGUCCCGCAAGGGAUAAGUAGAGUGGCAGACGGGUGAGUAAUGCAUAGGUAAUCUACCCUUGAGUGGGGGAUAACUCCGGGAAACCGGUGCUAAUCCCGCAUAACGUCCUGAUGCACAAGUAUCUGGACCAAAAGGGGGGAUCCUUCGGGACCUCUUGCUUGAGGAUGAGCCUAUGUCCUAUUAGCUAGUUGGUGAGGUAAUGGCCCACCAAGGCGAUGAUGGGUAGCCGAGCUGAGAGGCUGAUCGGCCACACUGGAACUGAAACACGGUCCAGACUCCUACGGGAGGCAGCAGUGGGGAAUUUUGCGCAAUGGGCGAAAGCCUGACGCAGCGACGCCGCGUGAGGGAUGAAGGUUCUCGGAUCGUAAACCUCUGUCAGGAAG
rnacentral:rRNA from 1 species